AUUGAACGCUGGCGGCAGGCCUAACACAUGCAAGUCGAGCGGAGCGGCGGACGGGUGAGUAAUGCCUAGGAAUCUGCCUGGUAGUGGGGGAUAACGUCCGGAAACGGGCGCUAAUACCGCAUACUAUCAGAUGAGCCUAGGUCGGAUUAGCUAGUUGGUGGGGUAAAGGCCUACAAAGGCGACGAGCCGUAACUGGUCUGAGAGGAUGAUCAGUCACAUGGGAAAUGAGACACGGCCCAGACUCCAACGGGAGGCAGCAGUGGGGAAUUUUGGACAAUGGGGGAAACCCUGAUCCAGCAAUCCCGCGUGUAUGAAGAAGGUUUUGGGGUUGUAAAGUAUUUUUGGUAGAGAAGCGUUACCAACAGAAUAAGCACCGGCUAACUUCGUGCCAGCAGCCGCGGUAAUUC
rnacentral:rRNA from 1 species